CCUACGGGAGGCAGCAGUGGGGAAUAUUGCGCAAUGGGCGAAAGCCUGACGCAGCCACGCCGCGUGAGGGAUGAAGGUCUUCGGAUUGUAAAACUCUGUCAGCAGGGAAGUACGGUCACUGUGGUAAUCAGCAGUGUAUUUACGGUACCUGCAAUGGAAGCACCGGCUAACUCCGUGCCAGCAGCUGAGGUAAUACGGAGGGUGCGAGCGUGAAUUGGAAUUAUUGGGCGUAAAGGGCUUGUAGGAGGUAUGUCAAGUCAAGGGUGAAAUGCCCAGGCUUAACGUGGGAACUGCCUUUGAAACUGGCAAACUGGAGUUUAUGAGAGGAUGGUGGAAUUCCAGGUGUAGGAGUGAAAUCCGUAGAUAUCUGGAGGAAC
rnacentral:rRNA from 1 species